rnacentral:lncRNA from 1 species
UACGUAUUAAAAUAUACUGACUCUUAGAUUCCAAAAGGAACUAUGUAAAUAAGAAAUAACUCAAUAUUUCAGAUGUAUUUCUAUUUAGUUUCAAGAGAUUUUGAUGUAAAUAAAACGGUUGUAGGUUGUAGACAAUAGUUUGACAUAUAGUUAUAUGCAUUUUUAUCCUGUUAAAUAAAAAUUACAUCAUGUAUUUCAUGUUUUGAUAUAUUUACAUACCAAUAUAUAUAUUAAAAUGCAGAUAAAUUUUAAAGGUCACAUGGAUGUUUUAGAUGCCUUUAAUAUGUAAUUAUAUUAUUAUACAAUAUAAGGCCGCAUAACACAAACAAGUCAAAUUCAUUGAAUGGUGUAAGAUCUGUUCCAGAGUUUAAUGGAUUGGGCCAUUGGAGGCACUUUAUAAGAACUCAAACACACAAUAUGAAAUAUUCAUUUUACUUAUUAGUCUUUCAAAAUCCUAAGGAAAAUGCAAACCCCACAGUAAAUAACUUUUUGUGCUUCCCAUAUCCCCACCCAUAUAAAUUUUGACACAGCCCUAAAGACAUCGCAUUUAAAAAAUUGUCUAGCUUUGGUGUGAUUUCCAUUGAAAAUAAUUAUAAAGAAAGAAUUGUGAAAAAAUUCUUCUGAGUACCAUCUAAAUAUAAUUAUUGGUUGUUGAAUACAUUUCAGAUGUUUUUUUUCCAGUGGAUACUGAUUAUUUUGGUUCAUAUUUGAUUAACCGCUGUGAUGAAUAUCUGCUGCAAUUUAUUGAGUAUUUUAUUUUUAAGAAAAGAUAUAUUUGUAAGAUUACUAUGAAAAUUAUAAGUUAUAAAAUACUGGUACUUUUUAUAUUUUUUCAUUUUUGUCUUUCUUGGAUUUAGAUAAAUAAUUUUAUAACUGAUAUAUAUGACAGAUAUAUAGUAUUAAAUUUAUGACUGCUUAUAAAAUAUACAACUGUGAAAUAGUUGAUUUUUUGUUUUGGUGCAUAGAAAAAUUGCAAGGUCAGCAUAUUGGAUUUUCCUUUAGAUGAUUUUUUUGUAUUCAGGGUAGCUUUCAAAAUAUUUGAUCAUGAUACUUGCUGCUAUUAUAUGUUUCUGCUAUUAUUAGCCAAUACGUUGACGUCUCAUAGAAAGAUAACAUAUGUAGACCAUUGAAAAAGAAGAUAAUUUUAAAAUUCUAAAUAAUGAAUUAUAUAUGUUGUGUUAAAAAAAGGUAAUUUUUCAUGCAUCAACAUAAAUUAUCAACAAUUAUGUUUUGUAUGAUUAGUUUUAUUAAAAUAUCUAUGCACAUUAUAUUUACAUCAUAUGCUGUUAUUUAUGGUUACUUUU